GAUUUGCAAUCAGUGGGUCUGUCUACAAAGGGAGGAUGGAGAACACUCCUCGACGCUGGAUGAUUACUACAGCUUGCUUUUGGAACGUUUUUGGACUUAUGUGACUUCUCUGGAUUACUCAACUGUGCCCCCAAAGGAUUUCCGGACGCAGCUCUCACCGUUCUCUAUUCCUCCUGGCCGGCCCGCUCUCCUGCUCUCCUCUUGCUCCCUCUCCUGGACACCCCAAUUGGAUUCACCCCGGCACCCAACCUACCCUCCCUCAUUCCUACGCUCCCCUACUCCCAACGCUGCACUCCCGUUCUCGAUCUCCCCUGGGCUUUUCCAGUGCACCUUCAGUUCCCGUUUUAAAAUAAAGAUUCUUUUUUUUACCAUAAGAUCUGUGAGUGUGUGAUUCUGCAUGUCUUGGGUUAAACGCAUUCCCCAAACCAUGUUAAGCACUUCUAUUUGUUGUUUUAAAGACGUGUUCAAGUCAUUUAGAACAGAGGAAAGGGCCGCAGCGAACUCUGCUUCAGUCGCUAUGUUUAUGACAGACUCGGCAUUGUGGUGUUUACGUACGAUACUCAGCUCUGAUUGGCUCGGUUAGAAUUCUCAGGGGGUGGGGUUAUUUCAGUAGGAGAGUUCCCAGACCCUUUCUCUCUGCAGAAUUAAACAGAGGAGGAGUCUGGCAGGCCAGGCUGACCAUCAAGGUUAAAUGUCUCCUCAUCAGAGCACUGGUGAAGGUUCUCAGUCAUCCAGCUCAUGGUAAUCCAAAAGAGUUUGAAGGAAGGCAACUUCAUUCCUGCCUUUGGAUUCUCAUCAGAGAAUAAAACUGUCUUCCAGUAAAACAUUUGGUGCUUUCUUGCAAAGUCCAAAAGUGCCUCUAGGGAGGGGGGUUGGGGCUUCUCCACCAGCAGUCUCCCUUGGGUCUCUGCAGUCCGGGGUAGCCCUCUGUGGUUUGGAACUCCUCCAUCUUCCACGGGUCUUUGGGGGCAGGUCUGUGGUUCAUCAUACUCACUAUCGAACACUCCUAUAGAGAAACCUCACACACACGGUGCUCUUGCAAAUAUGGACUUGGGCAUUUUUGACACAUUACCUAAGGCUAUGGUUGGCACUAAAUGCACUAUGAAUUAUUACCGUGUACUUUUCAGCAAAAAUUGUUACUUUUAUAUUUCCUCACUCAGUUGGCGCAGUGAUAUUUUGGUUCUGUUGUAUUUUUAUAUGUCAGGUCUAGAAGUGGAUUCUUGCACAUCCUUGUUUAUUUUUGUGAACAUUGUGUGAACUCUUUGUAGGUCAAGGAUCGUUCAGUGUCUUGAUGGACAGCCAAUUCAAUUGCCCAGCUCUUUUUGGGGUUUCUACUUGACUUGUUUUGUUCCAUAAUUCUCAGUAUCAUUUUAAAAAUUCCCCAAAACUGUCUUACUGCAUCCCACCUUAGCAGCGUGUGCUAAUGCAGUUCAAUUCAAUUCAAUUUUAUUUAUAUAGCGCCAA